rnacentral:misc_RNA from 1 species
UACGGAGGGUGCAAGCGUUAAUCGGAAUUACUGGGCGUAAAGCGCGCGUAGGCGGUUUGAUAAGUGUGAUGUGAAAGCCCCGGGCUUAACCUGGGAACUGCAUCACAUACUGUCAGGCUAGAGUACGAGAGAGGGGGGUAGAAUUCCUAGUGUAGCGGUGAAAUGCGUAGAUAUUAGGAGGAAUACCAGUGGCGAAGGCGGCCCCCUGGCUCGAUACUGACGCUGAGGUGCGAAAGCGUGGGGAGCAAACAGG